CACCGCACCCGGCCUAAACCUUUUACUUAAGGCAUAUGUCAGACCCUGGUCAAAGUAAUACAAAAAAGGUAUACACAAAAAUUGUUUUAACUCCAAAAGGUGGAAUGUAACUCUUGGAGAACUUCUCCAGUAAGUAAACUCAGGUGUUAUACAGGAAGGAAAGAACUGUUGCCACUGGUAAAUUGUUCAUAGCUCUCACUUUCCUCAUGGGUUUUUUUUUUUUUUUUUGAGACGGAGUCUCACUCUUGUCACCCAGGCUGGAGGGUAUUAGCACAAUCUCUGCUCGCUGCAACCUCCACCUCCUGGGUUCAAGCAAUUCUCCUGCCUCAGCCUCCCAAGUAGCUGGGACUACAGCAUGCGCCACCACACGUCAUUAAUUUUGUAUUUUUAGUGGAGACGAGGUUUCACCAUGUUUGCCAGGCUAGUCAUGAACUUCUGACCUCAGGUGAUCCACCUGCCUCUGCCUUCCAAAGUGCUAGGAUUACAGGUGUGAGCCACCAUGCCUGGCCAGGAUAUUAAUUUUUAAAGUCUCCCUCUGUCACCAAGGUUGAAGUGCAGUGGUGCAAUCAUAGUUAACUGUAGCCUUGAACUCUUGGGCUCCUCCAGCCUCAGACUUCUUAGUAGCUGGGGACACAAGUACUUGCCACCACACUUGGCUAAUUUUUGUCUUAUUGGUAGAGACGAGGUUUUGCCAUGUGGCCCAGACGAGUCUUGAACUCCUGUGCUCAAACAGUCCUUGUGCCCUGGCCUCCCAAAGCGCUGGGAUUAUAGUUGUGAGGCAUUUUGCCCGGCCCUGCCUCAGCCUCUUAAGUAGAUAGAAGUUAUAGGCACAGGCCACCUCAGCCAGCUAAUUUUUAAAACUAUUUUAAAAUUUUAUUUUAGUAGCUUUUUUUAAAGACAGGGUCUUACUCUGUCACGUAGGCUGGAGUGCAGUGGCAGGAUCAUGGCUCAUUGCAGCCUCAACCUCCCUGGGCUCAGGUGAUCUGAUCUCACCCUUCCAAGUGGCUGGGACUACAGGCAUGUGACACCACACGCAGCUAAUGUUUGUAAAGACAGGGUUUUGCCUUGUUGUCCAGGACAGUCUCGAGCUCUGUGUUGCUAGCACUCCUCCCACCUUGCCAUCCUGCAGUCCUGGACCACAGGUUUCAGCCGUGGUACUUGGCCUCCCAGGUAGUUGUAUCCACAGUCCCUCCCUGCAGGUAACACUGCAAAUAACCUGUAGGUGGCAGCAGAGGCUGAGGGCAGUGAUCACUUUUAGGCCAGUAUGGAGGCCUCAGAGGGAGGGAAAUGGAGCUCCCUUGGGUGCUUCCUGGGUGGCCCAACCUCUUCUGCAAGUGGCCUCCAGCUGCUCAAAGCUGCUCCAGAAGCAGUAUGCAGAGGCCUGGAAAGCAGGAGACUCAUGUGCAGAUGCCCUUGAGGGGUGCUGUCCUUUCUGUGGUUGGACUUCUGGAGCCUGGGGCCAUAUCUGGGGAUAGUGUUUUGAUUUUUGACAUGCACAGGGUCCCUGGCAUCAGACAGUAAUCUGUAUAUAUGAAGGAAACCUGUGAAGGUCAGGUUUACAGACAAUUGUUUGGGACCUCACCUGGAAAAACCGUUUAUGAAGUUGUCUGUUUAGCUCAGAAGCUUAGACUGCUACCUGUUAAGAGUUUCUGGCUGGUGAAUAUGAAGGUCUGGAAGGAGGGGACUGGGGGUCUGGGAGAAGGCCUUGGCCACGUCUCAUCCCUGGUCGCCACUUUCUGAAGGACACCUGCCUCUCCCUCCUGAUCCAAUCUUGCCUGGCCUGGUCUUGGUUCCCCUCUGGCUCUGAGGUGAUGAGAUUGCUCCACUGCACAGAAUCUGUAAUUCCCACCACACACUUGAAACCCAAUGCAGAACAAAGGAGCAGGAACAGCCCUUUGAAUGAGGAAGAUGAUCAUAACCUGUCAAAAAAUCAGGAGCAAAUUUCACUAAAAUGAAAAUAUCCAACGAGCAAGUUGUAGGGAGGGAGCUCUGCAGGUCGGGUUACCCAGGGCUUCUAUUGUCACUCCAGGGUGAGGGGAUGGGGCCUGGACCCCCAUCCAGUCAGGAAGGCUGGGGUGGGCCCUGCCAACUGUACAUCCUGGGAAGGUGGGGAUGCAUUCCCGCUCUCACCUUGGUGACAGUGCCCACUGAGGUUGGGAUCUGGUCUUUCCAGCUGUGAGAGGGACAGGGUCCCUCUACCACAACUGUUGCCUGCGCUGUGACCUUCACUAGUCACGGGAACCCUAGAGAGGAAGUCGGGACACCUGAAAGCUGGGAAAUGGUACACAAGAAAACUCACACAGGGGAGAGGCUGUAUGAAUGUAACAUAGGUAUGGAAAGUUUUCCAUAGUACCAGAUCCUUUCCUAGACAUGAAAAGGAGUCAAACUGGCAAGAAGCCUUAUGAAUUAUGAAGCAUGAGCUAUCUAAAAUCUAGCUGCCAGGCAGUAUGAUUCCCAGUGAGCACCAAGUUCAUGACUGGGAUAUAGACACCUUGCUAUACCCUCACGUGGAAGAAAGAAGGCCAGGUUCUUGAAGGUUUCCUUCAUCACAUCCCUGUAGAGAUUCUUCUGUGAAGGAUUCAGCAAAGCCCAUUCCUCCUGGGUGAAGCUCACAGCUACAUCCUCAAAGGCCACUGAAUCCUGAAACAUCUCACAU